GGGCUUGUGGCCCAAUGGAUAAGGCGUCGGACUUCGGAUCCGAAGAUUGCAGGUUCGAGUCCUGCCUGGGUCG
rnacentral:tRNA from 1 species